rnacentral:rRNA from 1 species
CAGAGGGUGCAAGCGUUAAUCGGAAUUACUGGGCGUAAAGCGCGCGUAGGUGGUUUGUUAAGUUGGAUGUGAAAUCCCCGGGCUCAACCUGGGAACUGCAUCCAAAACUGGCAAGCUAGAGUAUGGUAGAGGGUGGUGGAAUUUCCUGUGUAGCGGUGAAAUGCGUAGAUAUAGGAAGGAACACCAGUGGCGAAGGCGACCACCUGGACUGAUACUGACACUGAGGUGCGAAAGCGUGGGGAGCAAACAGGAUU